UACAGAGGGUGCAAGCGUUAAUCGGAAUUACUGGGCGUAAAGCGUGCGUAGACGGUUAUGUAAGUCAGAUGUGAAAGCCCCGGGCUCAACCUGGGAAUUGCAUUUGAGACUGUGUAGCUAGGGUGCGGAAGAGGGAAGCGGAAUUUCCGGUGUAGCGGUGAAAUGCGUAGAUAUCGGAAGGAACACCAGUGGCGAAAGCGGCUUCCUGGUCCAGCACCGACGUUCAGGCACGAAAGCGUGGGGAGCAAACAG
rnacentral:rRNA from 1 species